rnacentral:rRNA from 1 species
CAGUCGCCACGGUAAUACGAAGGGGGCUAGCGUUGUUCGGAAUCACUGGGCGUAAAGGGUGCGUAGGCGGGAUCUUAAGUCAGGGGUGAAAUCCCGAGGCUCAACCUCGGAACUGCCUUUGAUACUGGGGUCCUUGAGUCCGGAAGAGGUGAGUGGAACUGCGAGUGUAGAGGUGAAAUUCGUAGAUAUUCGCAAGAACACCGGUGGCGAAGGCGGCUCACUGGUCCGGAACUGACGCUGAGGCACGACAGCGUGGGGAGCAAACAGGAUUAGAUACCCCUGUAGUCCCUGUCUCUUAUAC